GAUCAAGUGUCUUAAGGGCAUUCGGUGGAUGCCUUGGCGCUGAGAGGCGAUGAAGGACGUGGUACGCUGCGAUAAGCUACGGGUAGGUGCGAACAACCUUUGAUCCGUAGAUUUCCGAAUGGGGAAACCCACCCGCAAGGGUAUCCUGAAAGGGAGGCGAACCCGGGGAACUGAAACAUCUAAGUACCCGGAGGAAAGGACAUCAACAGAGACUCCGCUAGUAGUGGCGAGCGAACGCGGACCAGGCCAGUGCCUGUCGAGAAAGAACCAGAACCGUCUGGAAAGUCGGGCCAUAGUGGGUGACAGCCCCGUACGGGUAGGAAAGAUUGAAGACUUGAGUAGGGCGGGACACGUGAAAUCCUGUCUGAACAUGGGGGGACCAUCCUCCAAGGCUAAAUACUCCUGAGAGACCGAUAGUGAACCAGUACCG
rnacentral:rRNA from 1 species